GGGCAUGUAGUGUAGGGGUUAUCGCGCCUCAUUUGCAAGCUCGCUUUAUAGCGAGUCGUGAUUUGAGGAGGUCAGGAGUUCAAUUCUCCUCUUGUCCA
rfam:Rhizoctonia solani AG-1 IB, isolate 7/3/14, WGS project CAOJ01000000 data, contig: 17838